rnacentral:rRNA from 1 species
ACUCGAGUGGCGAACGGGUGAGUAACACGUGGGUGAUCUGCCCUGCACUUCGGGAUAAGCCUGGGAAACUGGGUCUAAUACCGGAUAGGACGAUGGUUUGGAUGCCAUUAUGGAAAGUUUUUCGGUGUGGGAUGAGCUCGCGGCCUAUCAGCUUGUUGGUGGGGUAAUGGCCUACCAAGGCGUCGACGGGUAGCCGGCCUGAGAGGGUGUACGGCCACAUUGGGACUGAGAUACGGCCCAG